rnacentral:rRNA from 1 species
AACGAACGCUGGCGGCAUGCCUAACACAUGCAAGUCGAACGAGACCUCCGGGUCUUGUGUCGCACGGGUUCGUCACGCGUGGGAACCCGCACUUGGGUUCGGACUACCUCCCCGACUGGGGUGCUAAUACCGGACAAUGUCUUCGGCCCAAAGAUUUAUUGCGUUUGGUGGUGCCCGCGUUGGAUUAGCUCGUUGUUAGGGUAAUAGCUUACUAAGGCGUCGAUCCAUAGCUGGUUAGUGAGGAAGAUCAGCCACACUGGGACUCAGACGCGGCCGAGACUCCUACGGGAGGCAGCAGUGGCGGAUAGAGGAAAGUGGGGGAAGGGCUGAUGGAGCACGGACGGGUGAGUGAUGAAGGCCGUAGGGUAGUAAAGCGCUAGUAACCGGGAUGAUAAUGACAGUACCGGGAGAAUAAGCUCCGGCUAACUACGUG